rnacentral:rRNA from 1 species
UACAGAGGUCUCAAGCGUUUGUUCGGAUUCAUUGGGCGUAAAGGGUGCGUAGGUGGCGCCGUAAGUCGGGUGUGAAAUUUCGGAGCUUAACUCCGAAACUGCAUUCGAUACUGCGGUGCUUGAGGACUGGAGAGGAGACUGGAAUUCAUGGUGUAGCAGUGAAAUGCGUAGAGAUCAUGAGGAAGACCAGUGGCGAAGGCGGGUCUCUGGGACGGUACUGACGCUGAGACGCGAAAGCGUGGGGAGCGAACAGG